GGGGAGGGAAUGAUGUGAGCAUGGACAUAGACCAGAAAGAGAAGGCCCAAUCUAAAGAAAGAUGAGGAAAUAGGCCAAAAAAGAGAUCUUAUGGCCAGCCCUAAAUUUCCAUAUGUUUCCCCAUUAAUUUGACCACAAUCUCUUUUAAUUAAAGAGAAAGACUAAAUUUAUCUUAGUUAGAAAAUUAACUUUUAAUUUUU
rnacentral:lncRNA from 1 species